rnacentral:rRNA from 1 species
UACGGAGGGUGCAAGCGUUAUCCGGAUUUACUGGGUUUAAAGGGUGUGUAGGCGGACUUUUAAGUCAGGGGUGAAAUCCCGAGGCUCAACCUCGGAACUGCCUUUGAUACUAUUAGUCUUGAAUCUUGUUGAGGUGGGCGGAACGGGUCAUGUAGCGGUGAAAUGCAUAGAUAUGACCCGGAACACCGAUUGCGAAGGCAGCCCGCUAAGCAAGCAUUGACGCUGAGGCACGAAAGCGUGGGGAU